UGUUUCCUUGCCUCCAUUCUGAAGACCUGAAAUGAACAGCGGUGAGGUCCUUAUUGUUUUUUAAAGUUUAUGAUUAAAGAAACAGAUUAAUUUCAGCUGGUUUCCUGAUCUAACUGGUCAUGUGGUUUCAUGGCUGCUCACUCUCAGAGAUGCAGUAAGAUCACACACCUGAACAACGGUAAGGCUGCCCCUUUCACCACAGCAUCUAUGCUCACUAGCCAACAUUUUCAGGAAGCCUAAGUUUCAACGGUGCUUCUCCAGAGACUGGCUCCUGCAGCACCACCUGCUCACCCUACCUCCUCCCAGACAGCAGCAGUUGGAUUCGGGCCCCAAGGCUCUCUUACUUCCUUCUUGUUUCUUCGGGGGCAAAUCUGAUUCUCCAGUUCUUUUCCUGCCUGCCAUAAAGAUUGCUGCUGUGGUUGUGAUCUGACUCAGACUGGUGAAACGAUCCACUCGUUAAAGGUUGUUUUCGUCUUGUUGGGAGACUGGUGCCAAACUGAAAAACAACACCUACCUUGACCACUUGUCGCCUUUUGGAAGCUGAAGUAAUUACACUAUAGGAUGCAAACAAGCUUCUAUCCAAACGGUGUAAGGUUUUGGCUGUGUUUUCAAUAGAUGGUGAAUCUGUUUUUAGGGAAAUGCGGGGUUGCAUGACAUUAAGCACUACACACAGUCUUUCUUCAAGAUUUUUUUUGUUUGUUUAUUUGUCUAACUGAUGAACAUCUUGGUCAAUCAGCUAUGUUUGUGACCACGUUUUUAUGCUUGAUCAGGUCUGAACUCAAUGACUGUCAGAGAUGAGCUUCUCUGCCCCACAGAAUUGUUAUCUGUUCAGAAGAAUACAACAUUUGCACAGUCAUGAUAGUAGAAGUCUGAAAAAUGAUUUAUUUUCUUCCAUUCUCAUUUCUUAGUUCAGUUCAGGGAACGAUCGGGAAACUUGUGUCCUGGGCAGAAGAUCCUACACUUUAGGCAAUAAAUUCCUAUGAGACUAUCCAUAAAAUUGAACCCUAAUUAUCUAACUUCCAAAUUGCUUUCCUCUCUUUUGUAUUUCUGGAUAUAAUCAUUAAACUGCUUUAAAAAUAAAAUUCAGAUAGCAAUUCAUAGGCUUUUCUGCAGACAUAAACUUGCUUUGGAAAAAAAUUAUAGAGACUUACCCUCAAUUUAAACCAAGUUUGAGGCUGUAAAAACAAAACAAAAAACAAAAGACAAAAAAACAAAAACACACAAACUUUGGUAACACUUACUUUUGUUUCAUUUUUUCAUGCUCUUCUCCACUUCCUUUUUUUUGUUGGAAUACUUCCACCUGGAAGUACCAGAAAUAUGCAGCCACUUUUGCACAGGAUGGGUGUUCUUGUGUUGAAGGCUCUGAGCUGGGAUUUAGGAAACCUGGAUUCAAUUUUUUUGCUUUGUCACUUGUUUUCAGUUUAAAAUCAUCAUGUAAGUCAUGCAGUGAAUUAAGUCUAUGCUUCAGUAUCCCACCUGUGAAACAAUUUAUAUUUCCCUACCUAGGAGGGCAGCAAUAUGUUCAUUUGUGGUCUGUGAUGCUCAGAUGCUGUAGGGAUCACUUGUGAAUACAGGCUCUUUUAGAAUACCAAUAAAUUGCUGUCAUGUCAUAUUUGUUUUUGUUUCCCAAAUCAUUAUUUUUAUCUUGUUUUAAGCUGAUGGAGAACAAGCUGCUGUGUUUGUUCCUGGAUACAUGCACCACCCCAUUCCCAGCAGCUCUGGGUGUUCUUGCUGUGGUGGUGUUUCUCCUGAGCAGCUAACCUGGAACUUGAGGGAUGAGACAGAUCAUCCUCAGCAGUGUUUUACAGCAAAUUCCUGAAGGCUUUCUAUUCUCAC